UCUUAAAUGAAGGCUUUGAAAGCCAUCAACCUGCUGGGGACUGCAGAUGAAAAUUAGCCUGCAUGGCUAUAUCUGGCACAUUUACAUGUUGGACUCUGUGCUCAUGUUGAUUUAUGUGCGUUGUCCCUUUAAAAUAAAGAAAUCUAAA